CCCUUAGAUGUUCUGGGCCGCACGCGCGCUACACUGAUGCAUUCAACGAGCACCCGCUGGGCCGAGAGGUCCGGCUAAUCUUUGAACGUGCAUCGUGCUGGGGAUAGAUGAUUGCAAUUAUUCAUCUUCAACGAGGAAUUCCUAGUAAACGCAAGUCAUCAGCUUGCAUUGAUUACGUCCCUGCUCUUUGUACACACCGCCCGUCGCACCUACCGAUUGAAUGGUCCGGUGAAAUUCUCGGACGCGGACUUGCGAUGUUAAUUCGGAGCUUGACUGUGAAAGUUAAUUAAACCUUACCAUUUAGAGGAAGGUGAAGUCGUAACA
rnacentral:rRNA from 1 species